AUAUCAGUAAGCGGAGGAAAAGAAACUAACAAGGAUUCCCCUAGUAGCGGCGAGCGAAGCGGGAAAAGCUCAAAUUUGGAAGCUGGAAGGAAAUCAAACGCCUUUCCGCAUUGUAAUCUCGAGAAGUGUUUUCUGCAACGGCUUUGGCAUAAAUCCUUUGGAACAGGGUGUCAUAGAGGGUGAGAACCCCGUCUGUGACCAGAGUAAUUUACGUUGCUGUGUGAUACACUUUCGAAGAGUCGAGUUGUUUGGGAUUGCAGCUCAAAAUGGGUGGUAAAUUCCAUCUAAAGCUAAAUAAUGGCGAGAGACCGAUAGCGAACAAGUACCGUGAGGGAAAGAUGAAAAGAACUUUGAAAAGAGAGUUAAAAGUGCGUGAAAUUGUUAAAAGGGAAGCGAUUGAAACUAGGGAUGGCUGGUUGGAAAAUCAGCCGAACAGUGGUUAGGUCCAUUUUGUCGACAGAGAAAUUCAUUUUUUCCUGUUGGCAGAGUGUUUUUGCCUGGCAUUGGUCGGUGCACUUUUCCAGUUGGCAGGUCAACAUCGGUUUUCCAUUACUCUAAAAAAGUAUAUAACCGCCGGAAAAGGGAGAUUGGAAAGGU
rnacentral:rRNA from 1 species